AGCAGCCGCGGUAAUUCCAGCUCCAAUAGCGUAUAUUAAAGUUGUUGCAGUUAAAAAGCUCGUAGUUGAAUUUCGGGGUCAGUAGGUUGGUCAUGCCACUGGUAUGUACUGGUCUCACUGAUUCCUCCUUCCUGAUGAGCCGUAAUGCCAUUAAUUUGGUGUUGCGAGGAAUCUGGACUGUUACUUUGAAAAAAUUAGAGUGUUUAAAGCAAGCUAACGCUUGAAUACAUUAGCAUGGAAUAAUGAAAUAGGACGUUCGAUCCUAUUUUGUUGGUUUCUAGGAUUGACGUAAUGAUUAAUAGGGAUAGUUGGGGGCAUUAGUAUUCAAUUGUCGGAGGUGAAAUUCUUGGAUUUAUUGAAGACUAACUACUGCGAAAGCAUUUGCCAAGGAUGUUUUCAUUAAUCAAGAACGAAAGUUAGGGGAUCGAAGACGAUCAGAUACCGUCGUAGUCUUAACCAUAAACUAUGCCGACUAGGGAUCGGAUGAUGUUAAUUUUUUAAUGACUCA
rnacentral:rRNA from 1 species